GACGGGAGCUUGCUCCUGGAUUCAGCGGCGGACGGGUGAGUAAUGCCUAGGAAUCUGCCUGGUAGUGGGGGAUAACGUCCGGAAACGGGCGCUAAUACCGCAUACGUCCUGAGGGAGAAAGUGGGGGAUCUUCGGACCUCACGCUAUCAGAUGAGCCUAGGUCGGAUUAGCUAGUUGGUGGGGUAAAGGCCUACCAAGGCGACGAUCCGUAACUGGUCUGAGAGGAUGAUCAGUCACACUGGAACUGAGACACGGUCCAGACUCCUACGGGAGGCAGCAGUGGGGAAUAUUGGACAAUGGGCGAAAGCCUGAUCCAGCCAUGCCGCGUGUGUGAAGAAGGUCUUCGGAUUGUAAAGCACUUUAAGUUGGGAGGAAGGGCAGUAAGUUAAUACCUUGCUGUUUUGACGUUACCAACAGAAUAAGCACCGGCUAACUUCGUGCCAGCAGCCGCGGUAAUACGAAGGGUGCAAGCGUUAAUCGGAAUUACUGGGCGUAAAGCGCGCGUAGGUGGUUCAGCAAGUUGGAUGUGAAAUCCCCGGGCUCAACCUGGGAACUGCAUCCAAAACUACUGAGCUAGAGUACGGUAGAGGGUGGUGGAAUUUCCUGUGUAGCGGUGAAAUGCGUAGAUAUAGGAAGGAACACCAGUGGCGAAGGCGACCACCUGGACUGAUACUGACACUGAGGUGCGAAAGCGUGGGGAG
rnacentral:rRNA from 1 species